rnacentral:lncRNA from 1 species
ACACAAUAUUGGGAUAAGUGGGAUCCCACGUGCCAAACCAUUACAGAUAGUUACAUCCAAAUUGCCUAUAUAAAGAAGAGGUAUGGGAACAGCAAGGAUAAGAUAUUUUUGGGCUAAUAUUCUACCGAAAUCAACUUUCAACUAUUCUGUUUACUACUUUCUACUGACUUAGGCAUCGGAGGGUCCCGUCGGACACAGCUUCGAUCAAUAUGGAUUAAUUUUGCAGGUUACUCGUCACUAGACUUAGGUACACUCGAAGAUUGACUGUAACAGAUUGACGUACCA